GACGGAGGGUGCUAGCGUUGUUCGGAAUCACUGGGCGUAAAGGGCGCGUAGGCGGCCUUGCAAGUCGGUUGGUGAAAGCCCGGGGCUCAACCCCGGAGGUGCGGCCGAGACUGCAGGGCUGGAGGGCCGGAAGAGGAGGGUGGAAUACCCAGUGUAGAGGUGAAAUUCGUAGAUAUUGGGUGGAACACCGGUGGCGAAAGCGGCUCUCUGGUCCGGACCUGACGCUGAGGCGCGAAAGCGUGGGGAGCAAACAGG
rnacentral:rRNA from 1 species